UAGGGAAUAUUGGGCAAUGGAGGGAACUCUGACCCAGCCAUGCCGCGUGCAGGAUGAAGGCGUUAUGCGUUGUAAACUGCUUUUAUAUAGGAAGAAAUAGUCCUUGCGAGGAAAGUUGACGGUACUAUAUGAAUAAGCACCGGCUAACUCCGUGCCAGCAGCCGCGGUAAUACGGAGGGUGCAAGCGUUGUCCGGAUUUAUUGGGUUUAAAGGGUGCGUAGGCGGUUUAUUAAGUCAGUGGUGAAAGACGGUCGCUCAACGAUUGCAGUGCCAUUGAUACUGGUAGACUUGAGUAUGAUUGAGGUAGCUGGAAUGGAUAGUGUAGCGGUGAAAUGCAUAGAUAUUAUCCAGAACACCAAUUGCGUAGGCAAGUUACUAAGUCAUAACUGACGCUGAGGCACGAAAGUGUGGGUAUCAAACAGGAUUAGAUACCCAUGUAGUCCUUG
rnacentral:rRNA from 1 species